CCUACGGGAGGUUGCAGUGGGGAAUAUUGCACAAUGGGGGGAACCCUGAUGCAGCAACGCCGCGUGGGUGAAGAAGUACUCCGGUAUGUAAAGCCCUGUCAGCAGGGAAGAAAAUGACGGUACCUGACCAAGAAGCCCCGGCUAACUACGUGCCAGCAGCCGCGGUAAUACGUAGGGGGCAAGCGGUAUCCGGAUUUACUGGGUGUAAAGGGAGCUUAGACGGCAAGGCAAGUCUGGAGUGAAAGCCCGGGGCCCAACCACGGGACUGCUUUUGAAACUGUGUUGCUGGAGUGCAGGAGGGGUAAGCGGAAUUCCUAGUGUAGCGGUGAAAUGCGUAGAUAUUAGGAGGAACACCGGUGGCGAAGGCGGCUUACUGGACUGUAACUGACGUUGAGGCUCGAAGGCGUGGGGAGCAAACAGGAUUAGAUACCCGGGUAGUC
rnacentral:rRNA from 1 species